GAGGGAAUAGCUCAGUGAUAGAGUGCAUGCUUAGCAUGCACAAGGUCCUGGGUUCAAUCCCCAGUACCUCCA
rnacentral:tRNA from 1 species